rnacentral:rRNA from 1 species
UACGAAGGGGGCUAGCGUUGCUCGGAAUCACUGGGCGUAAAGCGCACGUAGGCGGAUUGCUAAGUCAGGGGUGAAAUCCUGGAGCUCAACUCCAGAACUGCCUUCGAUACUGGCGAUCUUGGAGUCCGGGAGAGGUGAGUGGAACUCCGAGUGUAGAGGUGAAAUUCGUAGAUAUUCGGAAGAACACCAGUGGCGAAGGCGGCUCACUGGCCCGGUACUGACGCUGAGGUGCGAAAGCGUGGGGAGCAAACAGG